GCUGUCACCGCCACAGACUCCAAAGCUACGAGCCCGUACUGCAAGGUACGGUAGCUUACUGCAAUAAAAUGCUAUUGCGGUUUGAAUCGCGAAGUUAGUGUGUGCUCCGUCGUUUACAGUGUUGUUUUUUUAAGUGCGUCCCCCUGUGUGUUUUUUUAUACUGUGGCUGACUUUUAACUUGUGUUUGAUCCAUAUGGGGCAGGGGCAUAAAGUUACAAUAAAUAAAUAAAAAAUUGCACGUAAACCCUUCUGCAUUGAGUUUUGUGUUUGGUUUGAACUUUUUGUUAGAUACAAUGUCAGUGAGAAGUGUGGUCCACGAACAAAGACACAAAGAGGCAAUGUGUAAGGAAAGUGAAAAACAUCUCACAGUUGUUGGAAAUCUGUCAGAGGUAAUGCGGAAAUAUCUUGAUCCUCAGGUAACAGUAUUAGCAUCAUAUACAUUGUGCAGGAAUUGCUACACUCAUUACAAGAAGAAAUUUAGUGAAAAGCCACCUGAAUGAUCAUCCCCUGAAUGUGAAACUGAAGAAUACAGUACAGUUGUUUAUUUUCUUGGGUGCAAAGUUGUUUAUGCAUUGAAUGUUAGCAUUUCCGCUGUAGCCCGCACUAUAUCCCCCCAUUAAACGUCCAGGAAAGGUAAGAAGCACAAGAAGAAAACAGUGUGUAACAAGGAAAGUGGAAGAAAUUGAAACACAUUUUACAAAGUAACAUCUUCAAAACUUUGUGAAGUGUAUAAUGUAGAUGAACUUGGUGCAGAACCUGAAGAUCGUGAUAUGUGUGUGAAAUGUUAUGUGUGUUUUCAAAACCUAAAUACUGCCAUCUCAGCAGCAGCCUAUGCUGAGAAGCUGCAGUUACUGACACCAGGCUAUUAAUACUAGGUAGCUACUCUAAGCAGAAGAUACAGAAAUAAAUAACCUCUUCCUCACAUUAUUCAAUUUCAAAAGGUCGUAAAAUAGAGAAUGAGAAAGGUAUUUGAACAUGCCCGGAUUCUUACUGUGGGUAUCCGUUGCAAGAUGAUACACUUACUGUUGCUCUGGAAUAUUACCUAAGCAAUGACAACGAUUGCAGCAGGCAAAGUACUAACCAUGUUGAUAUUAUCUCUGUUAGUGAAAACAGUGAUAAAGUUGAAAAUGUGAAAAGGUAUAGGACAACAUCAAUAAAAGAAGCGUAUCUCCCGAUGAAAAAGUAGAACCCAAAUUUAAAAACAGGUCUCAGAAAAUUCUACUCUUUAUGACCAAAAUGGGUAAAAUGCCAGCCAGUGAAAGAAGUAUCCACAUGUAUUUACUGCACUAAUUUGAAACAUGUUUGUUUCACCAUAAGCAGUAUCACAGGAAAGAAGUACUGUACACAAAGAUGGACUGAUGCUUUUGUGUAUAUGUCAAGAGCCGCAAAUUAAAUGUUGGUUGCAGGAGUGCGCAAUGUGGCCUGGUGCUAAAGUGAUGACUGUUGAAGCAUUGCACCUUCAGGAUACUGACAAUGACAUAACCUAUGCAUUGUGGGAGGGAGGAGAGUUGGUGAAGAAGACAUAGAGCCAGAGAAGUUUGUUACAGAGGUUAGGUGUUUUGUCAUGAAAGGAAUAGCUCACCAUCACAUCCAGAGGAUUCAGAGAAAAGCCAUAGCAGAAGUAAAAUCAGCCACAUCCCAGCAUACUGACACAUUAGUUCCUCAUUUCAAUUUUACUGAGGACUGGUCUGUUGCUUUGCAGAACGAAAUUCAGAGUUACUACUGGCACACAUUGCAGAAGAGGCCACUGGACAUUAUUUACUGUAUAUUUCAAGUAAGGACUACUUGUGGUAUGCUAAGGAACAAGAGAAACCAUCAGUAUUUUUCAAAAAGCCAGCAGAGUGGCAGACAAGCCUCUCGCCAGAGUAGAGGUCCCUCUCUCAAGAUGAAUGUGUUCAAAUGUAUCAAGCUUGCAUUAAGAAAUUUGGGAUCACGUUUUGAUGGAAAUGGUGCAUUUGAAAACUUGCAAAAAUUUCUUGGAGACUGUAUUCUCCAAGACAUAAUUCAUAGGAAACAAACUCUCUGUUUUGUAUGCCAAUGAGAAGUACAGAAAGAUUUCCACCAGGAAGAUGUUAGAAAUGCUUAAUGAGGAUAAGAACAUUUUUACAGAUACUUAAAGCUGUUAUGCUUUAUUCUUUCUAACUCUUCUACCAGAGUAUCUAUGGAACAAACUUUUCUUGCCUAAAAUGUAUAAAAACAUAGCUGAGGAUUGCAAUUUCAGGAGAUAGACUUUCCUUCUGUAGUGAAUAUUUAAAUUAAGAGUGGGUUUCUACUGCAGUUAAUAUAAAUACAGCAGUUGUAUGAAGACAUCACCAAUCAGUUUACAGCCUUAAAGGAUCAAAGGAUGGAUUUGGUGUACAAGAAAUAGACACAUUAAAUUAUUAAGAUAAGCGCGUGUAAAUAUAGGUAUAUUUUUCUCUCCUGCUAGCUCUUCUCCUAACUUCCCAGCUAUGAGUGCCCGUGAAUUGCUGUACCCAAGGAACACUACACUCGGGUAAUUGUGAGCACAUAGUGUGCAAAAUAUUGCUGGAAGAGAGUCCAAAAUUGUGACACUCCUAAGAACCGUUGGAAUCCGGCAUUAUAUAAGAAGAGUAAACCAUUCUGAGUGCAGAUAUAUUAUGAAAUAUUGUGGUUGCCCUUGGCCAGCAGCUGUUAGAGAGAGAACAGUUCUUGAUGGGCAACUGGCGACUACACAGCAGUAUGAGCAGCAGUUGCUCUAAAUUGUACAACUACACAAUGUCACCAAAUCAAAUAAAAUAAAAUUUUUGUUAUCACAUAUCAUGCUCAUACAAUCAAAGAUUGUGACAUGUGUGACUUGUCAAUUCUAGAACUAUAUACAGACUGAUAAACCAAUCUAAUGUUACAAUAAAUAUUUUGUUGCUUCUUGAGACAGGUAUUACUUUAGAUGCUUAUAAUUAAAAAAUACUAAUAAAUAAAAUUGUGUCACUAGGUGUAUUCAACAUUACAAUGCUGCAUUACAGAGUCUGUUGAGCUGUAUUUACACCAAUAUACUUUCUUGAA